AGAACGAACGCUGGCGGCAUGCCUAACACAUGCAAGUCGAACGCUCUUGAGGCUUCGGUUUCAAGGGAGUGGCGCACGGGUGAGUAGCGCGUGGGAACCUGCCCUGUUGUGGGGGAUAACCGAGGGAAACUUCGGCUAAUACCGCAUGCGCCCGGGGCCUAGUUUUCGGAUUAGGUUUCGGGGAAAGAUUUAUCGCAGCAGGAGGGGCCCGCGUCGGAUUAGGUAGUUGGUAGGGUAACGGCCUACCAAGCCUUUGAUCCGUAGCUGGUCUGAGAGGAUGAUCAGCCACACUGGGACUGAGACACGGCCCAGACUCCUACGGGAGGCAGCAGUGGGGAAUAUUGGACAAUGGGCGAAAGCCUGAUGCAGCGACGCCGCGUGGGGGAUGAAGCUUUUCGGAGUGUAAACCCCUUUCGAUCCGGACGAAUGCCUCGCAAGAGGAGUGACGGUACGGAUAUAAGAAGCCCGGCUAACUACGCGCCAGCAGCCGC
rnacentral:rRNA from 1 species